rnacentral:rRNA from 1 species
UGGGGAAUAUUGCACAAUGGGCGCAAGCCUGAUGCAGCCAUGCCGCGUGUAUGAAGAAGGCCUUCGGGUUGUAAAGUACUUUCAGCGGGGAGGAAGGUGUUGAGGUUAAUAACCUCAGCAAUUGACGUUACCCGCAGAAGAAGCACCGGCUAACUCCGUGCCAGCAGCCGCGGUAAUACGGAGGGUGCAAGCGUUAAUCGGAAUUACUGGGCGUAAAGCGCACGCAGGCGGUAUGUCAAGUCGGAUGUGAAAUCCCCGGGCUCAACCUGGGAACUGCAUCCGAAACUGGCAGGCUUGAGUCUUGUAGAGGGGGGUAGAAUUCCAGGUGUAGCGGUGAAAUGCGUAGAGAUCUGGAGGAAUACCGGUGGCGAAGGCGGCCCCCUGGACAAAGACUGACGCUCAGGUGCGAAAGCGUGGGGAGCAAACA